rnacentral:rRNA from 1 species
UACAGAGGUCUCAAGCGUUGUUCGGAUUCAUUGGGCGUAAAGGGUGCGUAGGUGGCGCCGUAAGUCGGGUGUGAAAUUUCGGAGCUUAACUCCGAAACUGCAUUCGAUACUGCGGUGCUUGAGGACUGGAGAGGAGACUGGAAUUCAUGGUGUAGCAGUGAAAUGCGUAGAGAUCAUGAGGAAGACCAGUGGCGAAGGCGGGGUCUCUGG